AGUGUGGCCUUGUGGCAGCCUACAGUGGAGACAGUGACCCCGAGGAAGGGGUAGCCGAUUCUGAUUGUGGUGAUGGACUUCAGGACAAGCUGACCGACUGGUCUAAGUUGGCCUGCUUGCUGUGUAGGAGACAGUUUCCCAACAAAGAAAGUCUAAUUCGACAUCAGCAACUCUCUGACCUUCACAAGAAAAACUUGGAGGUUUUCCACAGAUCCAAACUGACCGAAACAGAACUGGAAGAGUUGGAGAGAAAAGAAACUGAGCUAAAAUAUAGAGACCGUGCGGCUGAGAGGAGAGAAAAAUAUGGCAUCCCUGAACCGCCAGCACCCAAAAAGAAGAAGUUCAGCCAACCAACACCUGUCAUCAACUACGAACAGCCCACUAAAGACGGCCUCAGCAGCGACAAUAUUGGGAACAAAAUGCUGCAGGCUAUGGGAUGGAAGGAGGGUAAAGGUCUCGGUCGCAACCAGCAGGGAAUCACUGCACCAAUUGAGGCACAGUUGAGAACAAAAGGAGCUGGACUUGGUACUAAAGGCACCAACUACUCCCUCUCUGCGUCGGACACUUACAAAGACGCAGUACGCAAAGCCAUGUUCGCUCGCUUCACUGAAUUGGAAUGAGUUGGCCGUCUCCGGCUCGAGUUCUUCAUCAUCAUGGCCUGAAGAUUUGCUUCUUGUUGAAGGGGAGCGCCACCAUGUCUGCAUCAACAACAAGGAGAAAUGACAUGAAGCUAAAGAGACCUUCUCCCUUCCUGAUUUCCCUCUGAAUUAUUCUGUUUCUCAAAAAUCAGACGGGAGACCAAAUCUGUAAUGGAGGCAUAAGAUGGACGAUAAUAUAUAAUUUAUAAAUUGUACAUAGACAAAGUAAAUUUACUUCUUGUUUACAUUUAUCUUCUGUCUUAAUGCCAUUUUUUUUGGGUCUCAGCAUGCUAAACUGAAAUGUACAGUUUUUAUGAAAAUAUUGUCUGUUUAUACAGGAAAUAAAGAAAAGAAAGUGGUUUAA